rnacentral:lncRNA from 1 species
UUUACCAGUUGCUGGCUAAUGUCCUAGCUUGGGAAGAGCAAUAAUCUCAUUAAUGAAUUAUCUCUUACUUACAAGACAAACUGGACUCAUUUGUUUCCUUAAAAAGACGGUGUCAUUGAUUAAAGAUGGUCAUUAAUGACCACGCUAACUCUUUGCUAAAUUAUAUGCAGAACCUACUGCCAGUGAUCAUGCUAUUGAGGAUACAAUUCACAAGCAUGUUGAUAUCCAAGAUAAUGAGUCUGACUAUAACAAAGCACUUAACUGAAGCUCCACAGCCAAAAUGGAAUCUAUCAUGCCAAUUCAGGGACCUAAAACCAAAGUCGAAUGCUAAUUUUUACAAAAAGGCAUCAAAGUUUUCAUUUUCUAAAAGUCGACUGAACUGGGUUGGAUUGAAACCCAAGCCUAUGCAUUAUUAAAAUAAUUGAAGUGGGCUAUCAAAAAAAAUCAGACUGAAGUUGAAUCAGACUUCCAUAUGUUCUUGAUUAUAGAUAACAUGUUCCUCCUUCAUAAGUUAAAUUGGGGUUUUUGAGAGGGAAUGGCAGUUGUGCUAUCAGACACCACCGGCUGUGCUAUGUUUUCCGGGUGAGCCUGAUUGCUUUUGGCUCUACCCAGUGCAGUGUUUUCCAUCAAAUCAGUCUCUCCUCUGCGAGGGUAUUUAUUAUGUGCCAUUUUGAAAAUAAAAGGGAUGUGGAGCAAUCAUCCAGCAAAACCAUAGAACAUUUUAUUAUCCUAGACGGUGAGGGGACAGGUUUGACAUACAACGCUGGGAGCGGCGAUGGCCGAACAAUGUGCUACUAAAGCGUGAUUUAAUGAGGCCUGGAGGAUUUAGUUCAGUCAGAAAAGUUCCACUCUGUCUUGGGCAGAGGAGAAGCUGAGCUGGCAGGGAGACUUGAGUGCUGGAAACCUUUGACUGAUUUAGUGGACCCCAAACAUGGCGCAGCUUCCCUGUUGCUUCUGUUUUACAAGGCCAGCAGUUAAUUCAACAAAAGCCUGAAUUCAUUUCCCUCUAUAUGCAUUGACUGUCAGCUAAGAGCUGG